rnacentral:rRNA from 1 species
UACGAGCCACACAAACGUUAUUCGGAAUUACUGGGCUUAAAGGGUGCGUAGGCGGUGCGGCAAGUUGGGUGUGAAAUACCUCGGCUCAACCGAGGAACUGCGCCCAAAACUGCCGCACUCGAGGAAGAUAGAGGUGAGCGGAACUUACGGUGGAGCGGUGAAAUGCGUUGAUAUCGUAAGGAACACCCGUGGCGAAAGCGGCUCACUGGGUCUUCUCUGACGCUGAUGCACGAAAGCUAGGGGAGCAAACGGG